GGUCUUAUGGUCUAGUGGUAUGAUUCUCGCUUAGGGUUUACUCUGAGUUAGCUGCUCUACGGAACAAGUAUGCGAGAGGCCCCGCGUUCGAGUCGCGGUAAGACCC